CAGCAGCCGCCGCGGUAAUACAGAGGGUGCGAGCGUUAAUCGGAUUUACUGGGCGUAAAGCGUGCGUAGGCGGCUUCUUAAGUCGGAUGUGAAAUCCCUGAGCUUAACUUAGGAAUUGCAUUCGAUACUGGGAAGCUAGAGUAUGGGAGAGGAUGGUAGAAUUCCAGGUGUAGCGGUGAAAUGCGUAGAGAUCUGGAGGAAUACCGAUGGCGAAGGCAGCCAUCUGGCCUAAUACUGACGCUGAGGUACGAAAGCAUGGGGAGCAAACAGGAUUAGAUACCCCUGUAGUCCCUGUCUCUUAUAC
rnacentral:rRNA from 1 species